ensembl:lncRNA
AGACAGGGCCGAUCCAGACGGAAAUAAAAUCCCCAAAGAGCACAUGUAAAAUAGGAAAUUACCCCAUGGACCCCUGUACAUCUAAUCCUGUCUGGACAGGGUGUUAGUGCUAGUACUGAUGAGGUGAGAGGUGGGCGUGGCGCUCGGAUCUCCACCUGGUUUGGCGCUUGGCUGAGUUUUGCCCCUUAGGGCUUUCCAUACUGAGUUUCAGAACUCUUCACUUCAGCGGGUAAGAAGCGCCCGAUUUCCUGGUACGAGGCACAAUGGGCAUUUCUUUGAACUGGGGGAGAAUGACUCGAAUAGACGAGAGCGGAGAUGAAAACAGGUCAUGAGUGCAGUGGGGAUAACAUCUGUGGAUGAACAGCCUCACCCGGAGCUCACCUGUCUACCACAAACCAGCCUCGCAGUAUGAAGUCCACAGUGUUAUCGCACAGAAAUAGCCUGGCAGCACACAGACCGAAAACAGCACCAAACACACCGCCCUUAAGUGAAAGCACCUCAACACAUUUAGUUUGAAAGUGUGUGUGUGUGUGUAUGUGUGUGUAUGUGUGUGUGUGUGGACUUAUGGAAUGAAAUAUUACUAUUCAUGUCUUGUGGGUGUGUAUAGAUAUAUUCAUUGGAAUGUGCAAUUUGUAUACUAUUUUGCUUGUGUGUGUUUGCAUGUUUGAAUGGUACGGUAGACCCUUGCAUGUGUUCUGUUUUUCUGUUGCUGUUUUGUGUGUGUGUGUGUGUGUGUGUGUGUGUGUGUGUGUGUGUGUGUGUGUGUGUGUAAUUACCGUGAUUACCCCCCCUGCUCUGAACUGCGGGACGGAGAAAGACCUAACGAGCGUGUAGUAAUUAUGACUCAUACUGCUCCUGAUCAACUGAUUUAUGCCACUUAGGUAGAAGGAGAGACAUGGAAGGAAGAUAUCAUGGAGAAAAGAAGGAAGCUGAAUUUUUAAUGUUUAGAUGAAGACAUGUUGGAAAAAAAAAUCAGUGUUUUUAAAAUUUUGAUUGGGAAAAACAUUGCUACAUUGCAAAAUGUCAGCAUCAAGGAUGGAUUGUGGGUUUGUUUGGAACUGGGAUUCACCAUUGCACACUUAUUUGAACACGAAGGAGUUUCUUCCUUCUGAAUUGCAGCAGUUCGUGCUGCAAUUCAGUACGUGCACACCGUUCGUAGAAUAGAGACAGUGGAGCGGCAUGAGUACCUGCAGUCAUGACGAGACAAAUAUAUACAGAUAAAUUCAAAUUAAACUUCAGACUCGUUUUACAAGCAAAGCUUACUUUACAAUAUGGUGAUCAGUCUCAGUGGCGGCUCCUGGAUUCUGUAGAUUUAUUCGAUAAUUAUUAUGACGAAUAACACAAUAUAAGUUUGUUAGCAAUCUUGAACAGGCACGUGUUCAUCUUCAUUUCUGAGUUUCAGUGUAGACCAGUGAGACAGUCACUGUGCAUAUACAGUUAUUAAAAAUGCUGUAAUUAGGAGCAAUGUUUGAAUCGUUCAUAGCAGAAUGAUUGUUUCAUUUAAAAUAAUGCACAUGGCUGAUAAGUACAUAGUUUUUAAAUGAUAAUGUUAUUUAUUGAAGCAAAAAAGUUAUCCAGUACCAACUGGGCCUGUGUGAAAAUGUAUUUGCCCCCGUAGUUACUAAUUCCUGAAAUCUAUGUAACCGCAUUGAUAAUGCAGUUCAGCUGGACUAGAAACAACCAGGCCUGAUUACUGCAAACCCUGUUCAAUCAAAUCAACACUUAAAUAGAACUUUUUCAACAGCAUGAAGUUGGUUAAACGGUCUUAUCCAGUAACACACUAUGCCAAAGUUGAAAGAAAUUCCAGAAAUGAUGAGGAAGUAGGUGAUUGAAAUAGAUCAGUCUGGGAAGGUUACAAAGCUAUUUCAAAGGCUCUGGGACUCCAAAGAACCACAGUGAGAGCCGUUAUCUCCAAAUGGAAAAACUCGGCACAGUAGUGAACCUUCUCAGAAGUGGCCGACCUUCUAAAAUUCCUCCAAGAGCACAGCAACUACUAAACCAGGAAGUCACAAAAGAGCCAAGGACAGCAUAAGCAGUGAAAGCUGUAAAGUCAAAUUAGUUUUCUGACAUAAUAUGUAAGAAAUCAAGCAGACCUGGAAUUCUAUUUAUAAUUUAAAUUCUGUCAUAAAUCUUAUAGGCAAUGCCUAUCCUGCGGAGUCGUUCAUAGUAUGUGAAAAUGUUCUGAGUUUCUUUGUGCAUAAGAUCGCAGCGAUCAGACAGUCGAUUGUGCCUUCAAAAGAUGAUCCUUUGGAUACUCCCAGCUGCACCAUGUUCUUAAAUACAUUUGAGCCGAUUUCUAUCCUCUAUUUAAUGGACAGUGGUUGAAGCCCACCACUUCUUCCUUUGACAUUGUUCCUACCCACGUUUUUUAAACAGAUCUUUUAUAUUGUUGGGAUGUGGAUCUUAGCAGAAGUACACAAAGUCUUUUCUCUGGGUCUGUUACAGCCUAUUUUAAACAUGCUUUGGUGAAACCAUUACUGAAAAAGCCAAAUUUGAACUCAACAGAUUUAUCUAAUUUUAGACUUAUAUGAAAUGUACCUUUUACUGCAAAUUUUUUUUAGAGAAAGCUGUGCUAGAUCAACUACAGAGUUUCUUGGAAAGAAACAGCAUUUGUGAAAAUUUUCAGUCUGAUUUCAGGAAAAAACAUAGUACUGAAUCGUCUCGGGGAGUCUGCAGUUUUGUUGUUAUUAGAUUUGAGUGCAGCGUUUGACACUGUUCACUAUGGCAUUCUUCUGUCAUGCCUGGAGCACUGUGUGGCCAUCCAAGGACGUGCCCUUUGUUGGUUCAUAUCCUAUCUUAGUGACCUUAGUGACCAACUUUUUCUGUAAGUAUUGGAUGUCCCGUUUCUUCUGUAGCUCCCCUUACCUGUGGUGUCCCUCAAGGCUCCAUUCUUGCUCCCACCCUUUUCGCCCUUUAUAUGCUCCCACUAGGGUCAGUUUUAAGAAAGCAUGCUGUGGCUUUCCGUUUUUAUGCGGAUGAGACCCAAAUUCAUCUGCCGAUGAAACAAAAUGACAAGAAAGGCCUAGAAACCCUGCUUGCACAUCUGGCUGUGAUCUUGAAUAUCCUUGAAUUUUUUUUAAUUUGAGUGAGAGGUAAACAGAAGUUAUUGCAUUUGGGCCCAUUGCGGUUAAAUGAAAUACAAACCUUAAUCUUGGCAAUCUGACAUUAAACCAGCUGUCAAAAAUUUGGAAGUGACUUUUGAUUCUUCCCUCAACUUUGACCAACAUAUUAGUUCAGCGGUUAAGUCGAAUUUUUUUUCAUCUGAAACUUCUGACCAAAGUUAAGUAUUUCUUCUCUUUUAGAGUUAUCCAUGUUUUCAUUUUGUCUCGCUUGGAUUACUGUAAUUCUCUAAUACCGGAAUAUAUCCCAGUCUUCUAUCUCACGGCUUCUAAUGGUCCAAAACACAGCUGCUAGACUUUUAACUGGGGUGCGUAAACGUGAUCAUAUCACUCCGAUUUUAAGGUCUUUAAAUUGGUGGCCAGUGUGUUUAUAGAAUUAAUUUUAAUGUAUUAUUGUUUGUUUUCAAGUCAUUAAAUGGCCUGGCGCCUCUCUAUCUGUCGGAUCUGUUAAGCUUAAGUAAUCCUAUCAGAUGUCUACGAUCUGUUGAUCAGACCACCCUGUCCUUUCCCAGAUCAAGAUUAAAGCUGAGAUUUGACUGUGUAUUUGCGAUUGCUUUUCCUAAGAUAUGGGACAGCCUACCUCUGUCUGUCAGAUCUGCCACCUCCUUACAUGAGUUCAAAUAUAAGAUAAUGUCUAACGUUUUUACCUUAGCAUUUAACUCAUUAGUAUUAAGUAUUUAUUUACUUAUUUAUUUGUUAUACUUUGAACUAUACCUGGUUUUGUACAGCAUAGCGGUCAGCUUUUUUGUUGUGUGUAUUUGUGCUUUAUAAAAUAAAAAAAAUAAUAAAAUUAAUCAAAAUCAUUAAAAAUCAUUGUAUAUUAUAUAUAUUAUUAUAUAUUAUUAUAUAAAUCAUUAAAAAUCAUCUGUUGCAUCAAUAAAGGUCACUGUUCAUGACUCCACUAUCAGAAAGACACUGGGCAAAAAUGGCUUCCAUGUUAGAGUGGUGAGGUGAAAACCACUGCUAACCCAGAAGAACAUUAAGACUCAUCUAAAUUUUUCCAAAACACACCUUGAUGAUCCUCAAACCUUUUGGGAGAAUGUUCUGUGGACUGAUGAGUGGAAUGUGGAACUGUUUGGAAGACUGGGGUCCCAUUACAUCUGGUGGAAACCAAACACCGAAUUCCACAAAAAGAUCAUUAUACCUACAGUCAAGCAUGGUGGUGGAAGUGUGAUGAUGUGGGGAUGCUUUACUGCUUUAGGGCCUGGGCAACUUGCAAUAAUUGAGAGAAACAUGAAUUCUGAUUUCUACCAGGAAAUCCUAAAGGAGAAUGUCCGGUCUUCAGUCUGUAAGUUGAAACCAAGACAUAGGAGUAAGUCCUGGUCCUAGAAGUAAGUGAAAGACUGAUCUCCUCCAGUUAUUGGAAGCGUUUGGUUGCAGUUAUUGCUGAUAAAGGUGGCACAACCAGAUUUUAAAUUUAAGGGGGCAAUUAGUUUUUCACAUGGGUGUUAGGUGUUGGAUAACUUUUUUUAUUGCUUCAGUAUAAAGUAUUUAGUAUGAGAUAUACACAAAAACAGCACUGUAUGUACCACGAUAUAUAGUUUAGCCUUCAAACUGCCAGCAAAACAGUAGUGCUGCCAUCAGACUGUAAAAAUUCAGGAUUGUAAAACUGAGUUUGAUAUGAUAUUUCUAUUUAAUAAUUAGAAAAAAAAUACGUGGGAAGAAUAAAGAAAAAAUCGUAUAUGAAAUAAAUUAUUUACAGCAAAUAAGUUGCAUUCACUCAGUUCUAUUUAAAUUGUAAUUAUUUAAAAUGUAAAAAAGUAAUAAGAAAAUAUUGCAAAACAAAUGAUCAGAAAGUAAGUGAUACCUCAGUAAAGUGUAUUGUGACGGCGUUUAUCACCAUAACGAUAUAUUGUCAUAUCCACCAGCACUAUGAGUACAAUUUCACAGGUUUAGAACCUGAUAGAGCUAAUAUGUUUUGUUUCUCUCUCUCUCACUUUCUCUCUCUUACUCUUUCUUUCUCUCUGUUUGUCUCUCUCUCUCUCUCUCUCUCUCUCUCUCUCUUACUCUUUCUUUCUCUCUGUUUGUCUCUCUCUCUCUCUCUCUCUCUCUCUCUUACUCUUUCUUUCUCUCUGUUUGUCUCUCUCUCUCUCUCUCUCUCUCUCUCUCUUACUCUUUCUUUCUCUCUGUUUGUCUCUCUCUCUCUCUCUCUCUCUCUCUCUCUCUCUCACUCUUUAUUUCUCUCUGUUUGUCUCAUACUCGCGCUCUCUCUCUCUCUCGGACAGAUUGGCUCCUCCUCUCUUUUUGCUGCUUUCAGUAUUUUUUUUUUUUUUU